AACGAACGCUGGCGGCAUGCCUAACACAUGCAAGUCGAACGAGACCUUCGGGUCUAGUGGCGCACGGGUGCGUAACGCGUGGGAAUCUGCCCUUGGGUUCGGGAUAACAGUUGGAAACGACUGCUAAUACCGGAUGAUGUCUUCGGACCAAAGAUUUAUCGCCCAGGGAUGAGCCCGCGUCGGAUUAGCUAGUUGGUGAGGUAAAGGCUCACCAAGGCGACGAUCCGUAGCUGGUCUGAGAGGAUGAUCAGCCGCACUGGGACUGAGACACGGCCCAGACUCCUACGGGAGGCAGCAGUGGGGAAUAUUGGACAAUGGGCGAAAGCCUGAUCCAGCAAUGCCGCGUGAGUGAUGAAGGCCUUAGGGUUGUAAAGCUCUUUUACCCGGGAUGAUAAUGACAGUACCGGGAGAAUAAGCCCCGGCUAACUCCGUGCCAGCAGCCGCGGUAAUACGGAGGGGGCUAGCGUUGUUCGGAAUUACUGGGCGUAAAGCGCGCGU
rnacentral:rRNA from 1 species